rnacentral:rRNA from 1 species
UAAUACGUAGGCAGCAAGCGUUGUUCGGAGUUACUGGGCGUAAAGGGUGUGUAGGCGGUUCUCUAAGUUUGGUGUGAAAUCUCCCGGCUCAACCGGGAGGGUGCGCCGAAAACUGGAGGACUGGAGUGCGGGAGAGGAGAGUGGAAUUCCUGGUGUAGCGGUGAAAUGCGUAGAUAUCAGGAGGAACACCGGCGGUGUAGACGGCUCUCUGGACCGUAACUGACGCUGAGACACGAAAGCGUGGGGAGCAAACAGGAUUAGAUACCCUGGUAGUCCACGCCCUAAACGAUGCACAUUUGGUGUGGGCCAUUCAGUUGGUCCGUGCCGGAGCUAACGCGUUAAAUGUGCCGCCUGGGGAGUACAGUCGCAAGGCUG